rnacentral:rRNA from 1 species
UACGUAGGGUGCAAGCGUUGUCCGGAAUUAUUGGGCGUAAAGAGCUCGUAGGCGGUCUGUCGCGUCUGCUGUGAAAUCCCGAGGCUCAACCUCGGGCUUGCAGUGGGUACGGGCAGGCUAGAGUGCGGUAGGGGAGAAUGGAACUCCGUGGUGUAGCGGUGGAAUGCGCAGAUAUCAGGAAGAACACCGAUGGCGAAGGCAGUUCUCUGGGCCGUAACUGACGCUGAGGAGCGAAAGCGUGGGGAGCGAACAGG